GGUCUGGUGUGAUGUAAUGGUUAGAAUGCCAGACAAGGACCCAGGAGACUCAGGGUUCAAAUCCCUGCUCAGCCA